GUAUCAUAAAAUAUGCUUGAACUUGGGUUAAUUCCUCUUGGACUGAAUUGUAGUGCCAUAAACCAAGCUUUUCAAAAAGAUUGGAUGCAAAACUAUUAUGGCAACAGGAAUUUUUAUCAACAUAAAGCAGGAUUUAAUGCAGGGUGAAGGAUUUCUACUGUAAAUGCUUCAAAUCAUCAUCAUGGGGGAGAAGAGCACAGCAGUAUUUCCUUCCAAAAUGAUCCCAAGCUACAUUGGUUGGUAAUAAAUAAUGUGGUUAAAGAAGGCAGAUUCUAAGAUAGAAUUUUGGACCUGGAUCACCUGUAGCCUGCCUAGCAAUGAAGACCUCAUCAGUGGUGAUAGAUGGAGAACAGAUACACCUUGGAACCAGGGUCCACCACGGAGAAGAUGCCCUAUACGUGUAUGUAAAAUGCUGAAUUAAAUAACAUUGUUUAACCAUUUUGCCAGCCACAGAAAUAAACUAACUUAAACUCAUAUGUAGCCCUGGUACAUAAUGCAGUGUCUGGUAUAUAGUAGGUGCUCAAUAAAGGUCUGUUUAAUAAUAAUAAUAAAUGUCUGAUGGAUAAAGUAAAGAUAAGCAUUA
rnacentral:lncRNA from 1 species